rnacentral:rRNA from 1 species
AAAGAGUGCGUAAUAGCUCACUAGUCGAGAGAUCCUGCGCCGAAGAUGUCCGGGGCUCAAACUUACCACCGAAGCUACGGGUUCACACUUAUGUGUGAGCGGUAGAGGAGCGUCGUAAUCGGGCUGAAGUCGUACCGUAAGGAGCGGUGGACUGAUUACGAGUGAGAAUGUUGGCAUUAGUAGCGAGAUGUGGGUGAGAAUCCCACAGGCCGAAUAUCUAAGGUUUCCUCAGGAAGGUUCGUCCGCUGAGGGUUAGUCGGGACCUAAGCCGAGGCCGAAAGGCGUAGGCGAUGGACAAUCGGUUGAUAUUCCGAUACCACUACUGAUCGUUAUUAUCGAUGGUGUGACGGAGAAGGAUAGAGUGUGCUAGCUAUUGGAUGCUAGUCUAAGCGUUUAGGGAGUUAGGAAAGGCAAAUCCGUCCUAACAAUUCUGAGGCGUGAUGGGGAAGGUUCUACGGAACCGAAGUACUUGAUUCCAUGCUUCCAAGAAAAGCAUCUAGAGAGAGAUGUAGUGCCCGUACCGCAAACCGACACAGGUAGAUGAGGAGAGAAUCCUAAGGCCGGCGGAAGAAUCACAGUUAAGGAACUAGGCAAAUUGACCCCGUAACUUAGGGAGAAGGGGUGCCUGUGAGAGCAGGCCGCAGAGAAUAGGCCCAAGCAACUGUUUAGCAAAAACACAGGUCUCUGCUAAAGCGAAAGCUGAUGUAUAGGGGCUGACGCCUGCCCGGUGCUGGAAGGUUAAGGGGAACACUUAGCGCAAGCGAAGGUGUACGGUCCUAAGGUAGCGAAAUUCCUUGUCAGGUAAGUUCUGACCCGCACGAAUGGCGUAAUGACUUGGGCACUGUCUCAACUGUAAAUCCGGCGAAGUUGUAGUGCGAGUGAAGAUGCUCGCUACCCGCGAUUGGACGGAAAGACCCCGUAGAGCUUUACUGUAGCUUAGCAUUGAGUUUUGGUAUUGUCUGUACAGGAUAGGUGGGAGACUAGGAAACCAGGGCGUCAGCCUUGGUGGAGUCAACCUUGGGAUACCACCCUGACAGUACUGAAAUUCUAACUGGCGGCCAUGAAUCUGGUCACAGGACAUUGUUAGGUGGGCAGUUUGACUGGGGCGGUCGCCUCCUAAAAAGUAACGGAGGCGCCCAAAGGUUCCCUCAGAACGGUCGGAAAUCGUUCGCGGAAAUCGUUCGAAGAGUGCAAAGGCAGAAGGGAGCCUGACUGCGACACCCACAAGUGGAGCAGGGACGAAAGUCGGGCUUAGUGAUCCGGUGGUACCUCGUGGGAGGGCCAUCGCUCAACGGAUAAAAGCUACCUCGGGGAUAACAGGCUGAUCUCCCCCAAGAGUCCACAUCGACGGGGAGGUUUGGCACCUCGAUGUCGGCUCGUCGCAUCCUGGGGCUGAAGUAGGUCCCAAGGGUUGGGCUGUUCGCCCAUUAAAGCGGCACGCGAGCUGGGUUCAGAACGUCGUGAGACAGUUCGGUCCCUAUCCGUCGCGGGCGUAGGAAAUUUGAGAGGA